CACCUGCUGGCAGUACUCUGCCUGAUGCACCCCAAGAGACAACUGGCUUUCCUGGCCACAAGGGCACGUUGCUGGCUCAUGCUUAACUUGUUGU